rnacentral:rRNA from 1 species
UACGUAGGGUGCAGGCGUUAAUCGGAAUUACUGGGCGUAAAGCGUGCGCAGGCGGUUUGCUAAGACAGGUGUGAAAUCCCCGGGCUUAACCUGGGAACUGCGCUUGUUACUGGCAAGCUGGAGUGUGGCAGAGGGGGGUGGAAUUCCACGUGUAGCAGUGAAAUGCGUAGAGAUGUGGAGGAACACCGAUGGCGAAGGCAGCCCCGUGGGCUAACACUGACGCUCAUGCACGAAAGCGUGGGGAGCAAACAGG